UAAUGAAUAAAAAUGAUAUAAAGAAGCAAUGAACUUUCAAUGUUUUAUAUUUAAAAUACAUUUUGUGAGGAAAACAAUGUGCCAUAGAAACAGGACUGAAAGGUUCUCCAAGAUAAUGCCAGCAACUGCAAGAUGUUAGCAGCGUUGUCGUCCAUUCCCUCUCUCCAAAGGAAAGAGGAGUCAGGAGGAACAGCAGUAUAUGCACAUGAGAAAAACUGGUGAAAACGAUUCAUGAGUGGAUGGACGUACAGAACAGCCAGGACUGAGCCAUACACAGCAAAGCGAGCAGGAGGUGUUCAAACAGAGCAACAUUUCCACAUGCUACGUGUCGGCCCAACACCUGCAUCUCUAUGGGGCUUCUUUGCUGCUCACCUUCUGCUUGGCAUCAGCACUGGAGCAGGGCUCAUCUAGGUGACGGUCACCCAGGACCUGGCAUGUGUGGGACCCGUGGUCAUGCUGUGGGGCUGAGCUGAGAGGAGACAGGAGCUCACGCUGCCUUCCCUGAACACCUUUGGUCUGAACGUGUUAGAGUACUUUGAAGAGAGAAAACCACUGCCUCUGUAUUAUCAGCACCAUCGGGGGAAAGCAGCCAAAAUGUCUGUUGGAGA